AAAAUAAAGUUCUAGAUAGAAUUUUGAUAAUGACAUUCUAUCUAUCUUGACCAAAGAACGUGCCAGCAGUCGCGGUAAAACGUUGAAGACUAGUGUUAUUCAUCUUUAAUAGGUUUAAAGGGUACUUAGACGGUAUAUUAAGCCGUACUAAUAUACUAGAGUUUGAUGUGAGAGGGAGUACUAGUGGAGUAGAGAUGAAAUUUUAUUAUACUGGAACAGGUAGCGGCGAAAGCAACCCUUUAUGUAAAAACUGACGUUACGAAGGCUUGAGACACCAACAGGAUUAGAUACCCUAGUAGUUCAAGCAGUCAAUGAUGAAUGUCAUAGAUUAGAUCUAUAAAUGAAAAUGUAAGCAUUCCACCUCAAGAGUAAUGUGGCAACGCAGAAACUGAAAUCAUUAGACCGUUUCUGAAACCAGUAGUGAAGUAUGUUGUUUAAUUCGAUAAUCCGCGAAAAACCUUACCACAAUUUGAACAAGCGUUGCACGGCUGUCUUCAGUUAAUGUCGUGAGAUUUUGGUUAGUUCCAUUAAAUUAACGCAAACCCUUACUUUAUUUAAUGGGACCAAGACAAGUC
rnacentral:rRNA from 1 species